rnacentral:lncRNA from 10 species
CCUACUGCUGCUGGUGAAUUUCUGAUCAAGAAUUCUGCUCCCCACAAAGAACUGCCUAGAGGGUGGGACCAAGCCACCCCUCACACUUGAGCAUCCAGUCCACUCCAUCGUGAUGAUGAUGAUGAUCAUAGUAUUGGUGACUACAGCUAACCCUCAUUAAGCUCUCACUAUGUGCCAGGCUCCGUUCCAAGCUCUUUACAAAUACCAACUCCUUCAAACUCCC